UACAGAGGGUGCAAGCGUUGUUCGGAACUAUUGGGCGUAAAGCGCGUGUAGGCGGCUUUGCAAGUCGGGUGUGAAAGCCCUCGGCUCAACCGAGGAAGUGCGCCCGAAACUGCAGAGCUUGAGUGCCGGAGAGGAUGGCGGAAUUCCCCAAGUAGAGGUGAAAUUCGUAGAUAUGGGGAGGAACACCGGUGGCGAAGGCGGCCAUCUGGACGGUCACUGACGCUGAGACGCGAAAGCGUGGGGAGCAAACAGG
rnacentral:rRNA from 1 species